GUGGCUUCCCCUGGCUCUUCAGCUUUUAGUUCAUGUUACUUUCUCAGAGAUGCCACAUCUGGCACAAGAGGAGGCUGUUUCAUCAGGGUUUAUGGAAUGAAUAAGUGAUUAUGGUGCUGAAGGUGGUGAGGCGUUUGAAGAAUGCAGCGAAAUGCCUGAUAAAUGGUGGGAGCUGUGACUGUUGACUUGCUCUACGCCCAGAGCAAUUCAGAAACAAUCUGGUUUUCUCUUUUUUCUUUUUUUGAGACUUCUCCGGUUUGACACAAGGAUAAGAACCUGAAAUAAUCUUUAGCCACACAUGAAAAGUCAGCUUUGGUUGUAUCCAGUGGGAAUACAGAAGAAGUCACAUGUAUUUUUGGUUGAGAAAAACAAACUGGAUUGGACAAUAACAUUCCUAUUUGCCACUUCUCAUGAUUUUGCCUGGACUCCCACACAGACAGACUGAAAAAUAACAGAUCGGGGAGUGUGCAAAGCUAGUGAGUGGCGGAUCUGGGAUUGAGAAGGAGUCGUCAUCUUUUAAAGUUCUCCGAACAAAUAUGGCAACUUUCUCCUACCACUGCCCAUUUAUUUUAGCAGAGCACAUCUGCAGCGUGUGCUCAGAAUGAAGCCUUUAUCACAGCUGCGCACUUUCCAGGAGGGGGAAGACAACCACGUGAGAAUAUCUCUGCUAUUUUAAGUGCUAAGUAGAUAGGUUUUUGUUUCUUUUCCAGAAAAACAAAAUAAUUAUGUUUUCAUCAGGUAUUUUAAUGGUGUAAAGAUUUUGAAACAUGGGCAAUACUCUCAUAUCCACCUGGACUUCUAAACACAGCCAGACCUGGAGAUGUGUGAAGUUGGCUGACCAUGAACUACUUGGCUGCCCAGUGGUCAGGCCUGGGCAGCUGGAGGAGCUGUGCUGGGCGGCUCUUUCUCCGCUUCCCUCAGUCAGCCGUUCUGUGCUGUGUGAGCGCCCUGCCAUGCAGGCACAGAAGCCAAAAUGAUGGCGCUGAGUUUAGAGAAAAGAAAAAGUUUAUUGUAAGUCAACCAGCAGGAAUACAGGAGGCAAAGCUGAAGUCUAUCUGCCCAUCCUGGGGUUGGGAUAAGUUUUAUGAGUGACGGAGGGCAGGUUGUUACGAUUCCUGCAUG